UACAGAGGGGGCAAGCGUUGUUCGGAAUUACUGGGCGUAAAGGGCGCGUAGGCGGCCUUCUAAGUCGAACGUGAAAUCCCUGGGCUCAACCCAGGAACUGCGUCUGAUACUGGCGGGCUUGAAUUCGGGAGAGGGAUGUGGAAUUCCAGGUGUAGCGGUGAAAUGCGUAGAGAUCCGGAGGAACACCAGUGGCGAAGGCGACACGCUGGGCCAUACCUGACGCUAAAGCGCGACAGCAUGGGGAGCAAACGGG
rnacentral:rRNA from 1 species